rnacentral:rRNA from 1 species
AAGGAUCAUUACUGAAAUAGUAAUUUCUUGAAAGGUUUUUUAGUACGUCGGCCCUAAAAAGCCGGUCGGAACGAGCCUCUCUCACCCUUGUGUACCUUACCGCGUUGCUUUGGCGGGCCGACCCGGCUUCAACCCGGGCGGCCGGCGCCCCCAGCCUCCACCGGCCAGGACGCCCGGCUAAGUGCCCGCCAGUAUACAAAACUCUAGCGAUUAUUUUGUGAAGUCCUGACGUUAUCAUUCAAUUGAUUAAAACUUUCAACAACGGAUCUCUUGGUUCUGGCAUCGAUGAAGAACGCAGCGAAAUGCGAUAAGUAAUGUGAAUUGCAGAAUUCAGUGAAUCAUCGAAUCUUUGAACGCACAUUGCGCCCUCUGGUAUUCCGGAGGGCAUGCCUGUUCGAGCGUCAUUAAAACCUCAAGCUCUGCUUGGUAUUGGGCGACGUCCGCUGCCGGACGCGCCUCGAAGACCUCGGCGACGGCGCCUCAGCCUCGAGCGUAGUAGUAACAUCUCGCUUUGGAGCGCUGGGCGGCGGCCGCCGGACAACCGACCUUUGGUCCAUUUUUUUUUUUCCAAGGUUGACCUCGGAUCAGGUAGGGAUACCCGCUGAACUUAA